rnacentral:rRNA from 1 species
GAUGAACGCUGGCGGCGUGCCUAAUACAUGCUAGUCGAGCGAACGGACGAGAAGCUUGCUUCUCUGAUGUUAGCGGCGGACGGGUGAGUAACACGUGGAUAACCGACCUAUAAGACUGGGAUAACUUCGGGAAACCGGAGCUAAUACCGGAUAAUAUUUUGAACCGCAUGGUUCAAAAGUGAAAGACGGUCUUGCUGUCACUUAUAGAUGGAUCCGCGCUGCAUUAGCUAGUUGGUAAGGUAACGGCUUACCAAGGCAACGAUGCAUAGCCGACCUGAGAGGGUGAUCGGCCACACUGGAACUGAGACACGGUCCAGACUCCUACGGGAGGCAGCAGCAGGGAAUCUUCCGCAAUGGGCGAAAGCCUGACGGAGCAACGCCGCGUGAGUGAUGAAGGUCUUCGGAUCGUAAAACUCUGUUAUUAGGGAAGAACAUAUGUGUAAGUAACUGUGCACAUCUUGACGGUACCUAAUCAGAAAGCCACGGCUAACUACGUG